UUUUUAUGAUAAUUAAUGUAAUUCGGUAUGUAUUAUAUUAUACAUUUUGGCUAAUUUUCAGCUUGACUCUGCCUAGCGCUGUUCCUCUUAUCUCAUGGUCCCGAGCGCAGUUCAAAUGUUGAUUGACAUUCAGACUGUCUGCGGAUUAGUAAGGGAAAUAAUACUACCAAGCGAAACCAAACCAAAAAUCGGCUGAAAAUAGAAAAGGAGAGAACAGUAGUAGCUUCAACUACAUCUUCAACUACAUCAACUACAUCUUCAACUUCAACUAUUUCUUUGAAUUCAUAAAGACCAUUGGAUAUAUAAAAGAGAAAAA